rnacentral:rRNA from 1 species
GGGAGGCAGCAGUGGGGAAUAUUGCACAAUGGGCGCAAGCCUGAUGCAGCCAUGCCGCGUGUGUGAAGAAGGCCUUCGGGUUGUAAAGCACUUUCAGUCAGGAGGAAAGGUUAGUAGUUAAUACCUGCUAGCUGUGACGUUACUGACAGAAGAAGCACCGGCUAACUCCGUGCCAGCAGCCGCGGUAAUACGGAGGGUGCGAGCGUUAAUCGGAAUUACUGGGCGUAAAGCGUACGCAGGCGGUUUGUUAAGCGAGAUGUGAAAGCCCCGGGCUCAACCUGGGAACUGCAUUUCGAACUGGCAAACUAGAGUGUGAUAGAGGGUGGUAGAAUUUCAGGUGUAGCGGUGAAAUGCGUAGAGAUCUGAAGGAAUACCGAUGGCGAAGGCAGCCACCUGGGUCAACACUGACGCUCAUGUACGAAAGCGUGGGGAGCAAACAGGAUUAGAUACCCUGGUAGUCCACGCCGUAAACGAUGUCUACUAGAAGCUCGGAACUUCGGUUCUGUUUUUCAAAGCUAACGCAUUAAGUAGACCGCCUGGGGAGUACGGCCGCAAGGUUAAAACUCAAAUGAAUUGACGGGGGCCCGCACAAGCGGUGGAGCAUGUGGUUUAAUUCGAUGCAACGCGAAGAACCUUACCUACACUUGACAUACAGAGAACUUACCAGAGAUGGUUUGGUGCCUUCGGGAACUCUGAUACAGGUGCUGCA